CGCAGACGCACAACUACUGGCCUGAUCAGCUGACUGUGAGUAAGAUGCUCUGUUGACGGCUGAAGGACUAUUGACGUGAAACCCUGCUUUUAUCUGCGAUAUGUAUGGGAAACUGCGACUAUUUAUCUGAAUUAAACCGCGCGGAGCAAAUACUGAAGCCAUUAAACACGUCGUGACCUCCUCACAUCGAAGGCCCGCUGCACAAACCUCUUACCAGCAGCCAUGACAGAAUUCUGGUUGAUUUCUGCUCCGGGGGAGAAGACGUGCCAGCAGACGUGGGACAAGCUGAUGGUGGCCACCACGCGCACCAACAACCUCUCUGAUAACAACAAGUUCAACAUCCCUGAUCUCAAGGUCGGAACACUGGAUGUCUUAGUGGGUCUGUCGGAUGAACUGGCUAAACUAGACACUUUUGUGGAAAGUGUGGUGAAAAAGGUCGCUCAGUACAUGUCUGAUGUUCUGGAGGACAGCCGAGACAAAGUCCAGGAGAACCUGCUUGCUAACGGAGUUGACCUGGUCACCUACAUCACCAGAUUUCAGUGGGACAUGGCCAAGUAUCCAAUCAAACAGUCGCUGAAAAACAUCUCCGAGAUCAUCUCCAAGCAAGCGACUCAGAUAGACAAUGACCUGAAGGCCCGAGCUUCAGCCUACAACAACCUGAAGGGAAACCUGCAGAACUUGGAGAGGAAGAAUGCGGGGAGCUUGUUGACCAGAAGUUUGGCUGAUAUAGUGAAGAAAGAGGACUUUGUACUGGACUCGGAGUACUUGAUUACAAUGUUGGUGGUAGUCCCAAAGACAAGCUAUGCUGACUGGCAGAAGACAUAUGAAACCCUGUCAGAAAUGGUCGUGCCACGCUCCACUAAGCUGCUGUUUGAAGACCACGACAGCGGCCUGUUCAGCGUCACUCUCUUCAGGAAGGCUAUAGAUGACUUCAAGCACAAGGCCAGAGAAAACAAGUUUACAGUGCGUGAUUUCCAGUAUAAUGAGGAGGAGAUGAAAGCAGACAAAGAAGAGAUGACACGUUUGUCCACUGACAAGAAGAAACAGUUUGGGCCUUUGGUACGAUGGCUGAAAGUGAAUUUCAGCGAAGCCUUCAUCGCAUGGAUCCACAUAAAAGCCCUGCGUGUGUUUGUGGAGUCUGUAUUGAGAUAUGGGCUGCCAGUGAACUUCCAGGCCAUGCUGCUGCAGCCCAACAAAAAGAACAUGAAGAAGCUGAGGGAGGUGCUGUACGACCUGUACAAACACCUGGACAGCAGCGCUGCGAUCAUUGAUGUGAGUCUCCUCCACACACCCUUUGACAGUCGCAGCAGUGAGUGAAAUUAUUGGAGGAAGUCCAGUUCACUCUCAAGAUCAAUCCAGCUCAUUUAUAAGAACCAGGUAUUUAGGAAGACUGAGUCUAUCCCGGCAUGUCCUGAUUAUCGCUUCAGGAUGGGGGGGAAAAUCACCCUUUUAUUUCUGUUAGGCCUGUUAAACGUACAUCUUCUUAACUGGAUGUGACUGAUGUCUUUACAUAUUACUGACUGAUGCCACCUGGCUGCGGACCACAUUGGGGACAAUAAAAAAGGCCGCUAUGGACAUCCCAGGGCUGAACUUGAGCCAGCAGGAGUACUACCCCUAUGUUUACUACAAGAUCGAUUGCAACCUGCUGGAGUUCAAAGUCUAGGCUGAUGUGACAUAUUCACACUAAUUUAUUUCCACUGCUACCCUGUUCUGCCUGUUUCCCCCCCCCAGACUUUUUAUGUUCUGGACCUCUUUUUCUUAUGUGCCUGGUACAUACCUGGGUUAAUAUUGAAUAAGUUGUGGAACUUCUGUUCUAACAUAGUUGACAAAUGUGGGCCCACUUCUUUGUUGUCACUUCCUCUUCGUACCAUGCUGUAAAAGUGAAUAGCUUUCCAUAUUUAUUCCCACCAAAAUGGCUGACAUUCCCUCAUGGCAUCAAAGGACAUGUAAAAUACUACAUUUUUAUUGUUUUUUUUUUCCCUGUCACCCUACUUUGUUUAAAGCAACAAAAACGGUACACAAGUGGGGGAAAUGGCGAGGAAGAUAAAUAUAUGUUAAAUAUAUUAUUUAUUUAAAGCCUCUAAAAUCAGUGAAUGUGUUUUUGUUUGUUCGGUUUUUGAAAGUGAUGUGUUUUUAGCUCCAUGUAAGGAUUGUCUGUUCACAAGUAGAUGUUGAUCAUCGUUUCCCCUACUCAAGCUAUAAUCCUAUGAAAUACAGAGACAGGUCAUUUUACAUAUAAAGAAGCAAUAUGUUUGCUGAUUGUAAGCUCCUAUAAUUUCUGUGUUUGAGAAAAGUAAUUAUGUCUAUGUGCAAAUACUGUAUUGUCAGUAUAUCUGAAGAUUGAACCACAUAUUUAAAAUAAAUGUUAAAAAUAAAUACUCUAUGUGAAACAUACUGGA